rnacentral:tRNA from 1 species
UGAAUAUAGUUUAUUAAAAUUCUA